GGGGAGGCGGGACAGGGUCGCUGUGGUGGCGGCGGUGCCCGGUGCUUCCCCCCUGGGCCGGGCUCGGGGGGCUCCGCUGUGACCCCUGAGGGGGCUGGGUGUGGCCGGUCCUGUCUGGGGCGGCCGCCCAGCGGCGGGGACCGGGACGCAGGCUGCCAGCUGCCUCCUCCCCACCUCCUUCCCUCCUGCUUCUUCUGCCUUUCUCCUGCUCCCUUGCCUCCUGUUUCUCUCCUGCCACCCUCCCUCCUGCUUCCCUCAGAGGUCCGGCGCAGCGACCCGGUGACCCGCCGUGCCAGCCCGCGGCCUCCGCGCUACCUGAGCCAAUGCUAGAUCUGGAGGUGGUGCCCGAGCGGUCUCUGGGGAACGAGCAAUGGGAGUUCACCUUGGGAAUGCCGUUGGCUCAGGCUGUAGCAAUUCUUCAGAAACACUGUCGCAUUAUCAAGAACGUCCAAGUUCUCUACAGCGAGCAGUCACCUCUUAGCCAUGACCUCAUCCUUAACCUGACUCAGGAUGGAAUCAAACUGCUGUUUGAUGCUUUCAAUCAGAGACUUAAGGUGAUUGAAGUUUAUGACUUGACUAAGGUGAAGUUAAAAUAUUGUGGUGUCCAUUUUAACUCUCAGGCAAUUGCUCCAACCAUAGAACAAAUUGAUCAGUCGUUUGGAGCAACACAUCCAGGAGUGUAUAAUUCAGCUGAGCAACUCUUUCACCUCAAUUUCAGAGGACUGUCGUUUUCUUUUCAGUUAGACUCCUGGACUGAAACGAAGUACGAGCCUAACUUUGCCCAUGGUCUAGCCUCCCUGCAAAUUCCACAUGGUGCGACUGUGAAACGUAUGUACAUCUACAAUGGAAACAGUCUGCAGGAUACCAAGGCUCCCUUGAUGCCCCUCAGCUGUUUCCUUGGUAACGUGUAUGCUGAGAACGUUGAUGUUCUGAGAGAUGGAACUGGACCCUCAGGUUUACGGCUUCGCCUACUUACUGCAGGUUGUGGCCCGGGUGUUUUAGCCGAUGCCAAGAUGCGGGUAUUUGAACGUUGUGUGUACUUUGGUGAUUCGUGCCAGGAUGUGCUGAGCACCCUGGGAUCUCCGCACAAAGUCUUCUACAAGUCUGAAGAUAAGAUGAAAAUCCAUUCGCCCUCGCCCCAUAAGCAGGUCCCAUCAAAGUGCAAUGACUACUUCUUCAAUUAUUUCACACUUGGAGUGGAUAUUCUCUUCGAUGCAAACACUCACAAGGUGAAGAAAUUUGUCCUGCAUACGAAUUAUCCUGGUCAUUACAACUUCAACAUUUACCAUCGCUGUGAAUUCAAGAUUCCACUAGUGAUAAAGCGAGAUAGUGCUGAUUCACAGACUGAAACAUGUACAACAUACAGCAAGUGGGACAGUAUUCAGGAUCUUCUGGGACACCCUGUAGAAAAGCCAGUGGUACUUCACAGGUCAUCAUCUCCGAACAACACUAACCCAUUUGGGUCAACCUUUUGCUUUGGACUGCAACGAAUGAUCUUUGAGGUGAUGCAGAAUAAUCACAUAGCUUCUGUUACUCUGUACGGCCCAACGCGGCCCAGCAGCCAGUUGAGAACAUCGGACCUUCCCCAGUGAGCAUCCCCUGCAAAGUCAGCUAAUCUCAAUGCUACAAAAUUAGUACAGCGUGCCUUGAUUUGCUGCCACUUAUAAUAUGGAAAGCACGUUAUGAUUUUUUUUUUCCAUAAGCCUUUCCACCCAGGAGCGGUGUGGAGGGGGAAAUUCUCUCAACCCUUCAUCAUGGGGCAUGGAACUGUUGAUGGAGGAAAGCAGCUUGGGUGCCUGUGCUGUCGUUUAUUCCUCUCCGUUGCCCUCAUCCUAUGCAGCACAGACCUGAAGAGACUGUCCCCCCAUCUCGGCUGGCAGAAGGGGGAAAUAGAAGAGGGGCAUGUAAUGACUGCAAGAGUUAGAAGCACAAACUUUCUGAGCCUUGGAGCAUCUGGAAGCAGCCAAUACAGUACGUUCCCUGAAGAAGCAGUAAAGGAAGUAGCAUAACUUGCAGUCUGUUUCCUAGCAGAUACAUGAAAGCAUAUUAUAAAUUUUUGCCCCAAAGUGGAAAAGGAAAGUCUUUAAAGUACGGUAAAUAACACCGUGGCUUCUGUAUUGUGUUCAAAAAUGCAGUUGUUACACUCAUCUCAGCCUUUGGGUAUCAUUAAAAUUGAUCAAGCUUUAAAGAGUUUGACUAUUGCACAACAGAAUGGAAGAAACGGCUGCAGGAAAAGGCGCAAACAUGAAUUCUCAUACUUCUUUCUUGUUCCCUAAGAUGCUUCAACAGAAAAGCAUUGAAAAUACGCUUACCCUGAAGUAGCUUAGACAUUAAUGCAGGGCAUAAGAAAUGGGACUCCUCUUUCCAUUCACGUUUCUCCUGCACUGGCUGCAUAAUCCAGGGUAAAGCACUUAGCUCUCCCUCCUCCAGCGUCCUUCAGGUUUUGGGAUAUAAAAUGACCUUGCAUAGUACUUGGCUCAGCGUGCUCUUGGAGAAUUUUAUGAUCUCUGAGUUGAGGUGGUGCGCAUGCUUAAGCUUGUUGCUAAAAUAUGACAGCAAUCCUGCUAGUUUUCAUUAAUCCUUUUCUAAUAAAGGCUCCAGAUUAGCUGUAGGUGGAGAUAAGUUCUUGAUGGGAUGAUUUGAGUAAUGGCUACGCAGAUGGUACCAGUAUCCUGCUCUCAAGCUCAUUCAGUUGAAGUUCUUCAGAAGUGUGAGGCCGGGACUGCUGCUAUAUAGCAUGCACCUCAAGACUUAGGAUAGGAUGGCAGCGGCUAACCAAAGGUAUUCACAACUUCAGUGACUCCCAUCUUUACUUGUAAUAUGCUGGUGAGUCAAAGCGAUUAAAACAGUGUAGCUAAUGAAAUGUGCUCUCUGAACAGCCCAGAUGCUUCUGUAGGUCAGUCCCUUCAUCUGGAAAAGUUCCUCUGUAACAGACAAAAAGUAAAGACAGCUUUGCGUCUUGGCCACUGCUGCUGGGCCUAGGGCAAAGCAUUUGACUUUUUGAGUGAGGCAGAACUGAAGAAGGGCAUGGGGAGAUGAUGUGGAGCAGCUCUUUUGGGUUUACUUGCCCUUCCUUUGUGAUCACAGCUGUUCACAGCUUGCUUGUCUGAGAUGUUUUGAUUUGUUUGCUGCAAUUUGGACUAAGCCAAGCCAAGCCGUUCUUGUGCUGAUGCACUAGGGGAGCUGGUGUGGAGCCUUAAGGAUAUGCUGGCAUGAAAAGGUUAGGACUGGGUGGGGCAGGGCCUGACAGCAGUUUUGAGUCACCAGAAGGAAGGAAAGAAUAGAGGAGCUCUGGGGGAGAAGGUGAAGGGUGGCAGCGUGGCAGGAAGGUGGGGCUGGGACGGUGCUGUUUAUUUGAACUAAAAGCCGUUCCUUGCAGAAGGGUGCUCAGGGUGCAGCAGUGUGCCAGCUCGAGCUCUGCAGGGUCAGCUGGGGUGGGGUGUGUCACCUUCCCCUCCCAAAGGAACCAAGAGAUUUGGGAUGUGUCAGAUCCCAUCUCAGCAGGUGCCCUUGUAAUAAUUAUGUAUAGUUUGGUACAGAUCCUGCAUGUUGGCACCAUGUGUUGGUCCAUCAUUUUGGUUUCAUAUGAUAAAACUGUUUGAUAUAAUGUUAAGUACAGUUGCAUUUUUCAUAAAACACAUUGUGCAUAUGAUCCCAUUUUGAAGUGUGCCUUUUUCCUUUGUAUAAAAUUAAGAGUCUCUGUGUGUGUCUGCUUAACCUGAAUAUUGCAGUGUACUUCAUAGUAUUUCAUUUGUUUACACUUAAUAAAACUGAUGAUUGUGCCCUUCU